CCAAUUUUAGUCAUUUUUCUAAAACACAAAAUGAUACCCGCUGCUGUGGAAGUGAAAUGUGGCACAGAUCUUCAAGGAAAUUGCCCGUUUUUUAUUUGGAGUAUAAACACACACCAAUUAGCAACACAGGGUCAUGAAAUUCCAGUGCUAGUUGGUGUCCUGCAAGGAGUCAGCGAAACAAUAAACUCAAGGGAGGGGGAGGUCCCUGGGGGUUCCGGUGGAUAAUGUCAAGGCCAAAGGAAAACUUCUUCUCUUUCCGAAGGUUUGUGGAAAAUCAGCUGAUAAAAGCAGCUUAAUAGAAGAAAAGCAUACACAAUUAUUCGAUCAUAGUUUUAUGUGACACAGGAGCCUUCAGAAUGGGGACCCAAAGAGACAGGUAAAAUUGUCAGUUCUUAUGCUUUAGUUCAACGAAGUAUGGAUGGCUGUAUAGAAAUAUAAUUGGACCAAAAGGGAAUGAUCGAAUGCUAGUAGACUAAGAGGGGAAACCCAGCAAGACCUGUCUGUUUAGAUUCUUCUCAGCCUCUCUGAGCACGCAUUCCUUCCUUGUGGGUGUGAGGCAGCGCCCUCCCUGGAAUGGAGGUCUUAUGACCUACAAUUAAAUGAGAUAGGUCAGGAAAUUUAUUUAUGUCCAGUUUUUACACAGAAAGACUGGAGGGGGACACAAAGUCAUAUUUUUCGGUUUUAUGGCUGGCUGUGGGGAAAAGGAGUUCCGGUUUCUAUGACCUGCCUUGGAGAAGAGGGAUUCUAGUUUCUAUGGGUAGCCUUGGGGGAGUUGGGAUUGAAAGACAGGAGGGUAGAAGAAGGUCAGAGAAUAACUUUUGCUUCUGAGGCCUUCAUUUGGGGUAUUGUUUUCUGAUUCCAACAUUAGGAAAGGUUUUGCGGGACACCUGGUCCUUGGAGAUUGAGAGUGAGGGCAUUUGAGGAGGCCAGUACAAGCCAAAGUGAAGGCCCCAGCCAGGCAGCAGUAGAAUGGUUACUUGGGAUACAGCAUAGUGGCUCAAGGUGGAGAUGCCACCACCAGGCACACCUGUGCCAGUCUCCAGAUGUGGCACCCUGGGCAAGCCUCUCAACCUCAGCUUCCUCACCUACUAGCCACCCCCUUGGGGGAUAUAAAGAUCAUAGUGACUUCUUGGAAAGCGCUUAGCACAGUGCCUGGUCCAUUAUGUAUCAUAAUACAAUUUAAUUGCCAGUGUUAUCGAAUGACCAUUCUGAAUUUUUUCAUUCAGCCUGUUUAUUAAAUAAUAAUAUUGGCAACUAAAGUAUGUUGAGGAGUAGUGACAGCUCGCAUCAGUUCAGGAGAGUGAGAGAUGGGGGCUUUUGAAGACUUGACGGAAGUUCCUGAGUACUUUGACCUGAGGAUUGACCUGAGUCCGGAGUGCAGUCAAGUGAGACUGUCAUUAGUGUGUAGAAAAUGAAUAUGGAAGGCAUGGUGUUAGGAAGGCUGGCCCACCCAGUGAUGCACAGGCUGGAUCAUUGAGCGGGGUACUGGAGCUGGCAAAUACAGCUGGGACGCAGUUCUAGUAAUGAAAGUCCGAAAGGGAAGCAAAGAAGAGCAGAUAGAAGGGGGAAAUAAUGCUGAGGGCAGUUUUAACGCAUAAUUAACAUGUCUUCCUAACCCGUAAUGAUUAUGAUGCAGAAACAUACUGAAGUUUCCAACCUGAAACUAAGAUAAUGGUGCUUUAACAAAAAAUGUAGGGAAGGGAAGGGAAGUUUGUUUCAUGGUAAUGUUGGGUUUGGUAUAAUGGAAACUUUCACACAGAUUAAAUUAGAUUACCUGGGCUAAAUACCUAUCACAAUGCCUGACCUGACUUUUUUCUUUUUUCCAGUGAUGGGAUCUUGCUAUGUUGCCCAGGCUGGCUUUGAACUCCUGGGCUCAAGGGAUCCUCCUGCUUCAGCCUCCCAAGUAGUGGAAGCACAGGCAUGCACCGCUAGGCCUGGCUACAAUGUCUGACAUUUGGAAGGAAGAUAUUAAGACUCAGAAAAUGGUCAAAGUGUCAACUGCUGAAAAAUGUCCAAAUAGGUUGAUGCAAAGGACAUUGGAUUUAACUACAAGGUGGACUUGGUGACUUCUGAUAGCAGAAUUUGAAUGAAAAGACUAGGAGAGUCUGUGUAGAUACCCAAAUUGAAGGGAUAGUGACCGUAAUAAUUGCCUACAAGAUAAUAGUGCUGAUAAACAUUUCAAAUAGUAUAAUUUAAUGCUUACCUGUACUUUCUGAAAUUUUUAGCAAUAAUUCAAACAUUGUGUUUGUGUCCUGCAUAAAAUUCCGGUUUACCCAACACACACACACACACACACACACACACACACACACACACACACAAAUGUAACAUCUAAUACCAUUCUAUUUUAUUCUUAUGUGGUUAUGGUGUUAAUUUCAGAAGGCUUAUUUGGUAAAAUGUUCUCAGCUACUUACAGAACCAAUUGCAUCUACAGAUAUUUUAUAAUAAUGCAUUAUGCAACAUAUUUUAUUUUUAUUUCACCUCAUUUAACCAGUGAAGGUGAUUUGUCAAAUGUAUCCAUUUCCAAAAUUAUUUGUCUAUCCAAGACACCCUGCAGACUGAGCAUUUGACACGAGAUGCCCUUGAUAUGAGUUCAGACUAUAGAGGUCACCCCCAGGGCCUGCAGUGAGAGCUAGCUCUUCAGUCCUUGAGGUGAAACCUGAUCAGAGUGAAGAUCACUUUAAAAAUCAGUUAUCCCAAGGGAAAGAUUUCCCCACAUAAUUCUAAAACAUUUCUUUAUGCCCCAUCAGGAUUUAAAUGCUGUAGUUUAUGAGCUGUAUUUCCAGGUAAUAACAAACAAGCCGCCAACUCGGAAUUUAUUUGAACUGGCUCUUGCUGCAUACUGAUAAUUAGUGCUCACAAGUGAUCCUGGGACCACGCAGAAGAUGGCAGUACCUUCUGAAGCAUCAAAGAAAGAUAUCCAGUAGAGUUAUAGUCUUGCAGGGACCUCAGUGCACACUGAUUCUUUGAUAAUGAAUAGUUUGGGUUACUCUGCUAAUUGCAUACACUAUUCCUUAGCCACGUCUACAUAAAAUAAUGUACAAAUAUGUACUCGUGAACAUUCCUUAAAGUUGCCUAAUAGCGCUUAAGAACUGCAAUGUCUCUGAUUUUUCUUUCUUUUAUUGGAUAUCUGUGGGAACAUUGCUAUGAGAGCCUGGGAGGAAAGAGCCAGCAUUAUAAUUACAGGAAAGCAGAGGGUUUUGUAUUUUUAUACUAUCAUAUCCAAAGAAUUUGUUUUGUUUUUAAGGUAAGGAAAAAAGAGAGGGGACAUUCUCUGUUCUUUAACAUAAAUUUACGUCUCCAAUAGCCCUUCUGUCUUGCACCUCUCUAAAAUGAAGGCACUGUGUUUUCAUCCGCAGAUAUGCCCAGAACUCAGGAGAUUUCCACCUGCUCUGUCAAUAAUACUAGGUCUGUGUGCUCAGUGAUGCCAGACUGGCUGCCUAUGUCUUCAUUAGUUUAAUUUAUUCUUCCUUAGAAUGGAACAAAUACCAAUAAUCUCUGAAUUCAUCGGGACAACAUUGAACAAAAUUAAUUAAGUAGCCAUUUUAGAUAUAUUCAUAAAGAUUGAGAAGGGAUAGAAAAACAAUUUUUUUUUGGUGAAGGAGAGAGAUGAAGGAGAUUAUUGAAGGGCUACUGCAUUUAGGAAGUACAGAAGUACAGCAUGCAAUGAGCUACGUGGAGGGAAAAAGGGGCUAUUUUUAUUUUCAUUGUUUUGAUUUUUAGUGUAAGAAUGAAAUGUGCCAGUGAAGUAAAAAAUCAUAGUUGCCAGGAAAACCAAGUUCUCUGUGUUUCAUAUUUUGUCUUAGAAUCUUAUAUUGGGAGUGAUUACUUUCAUGUGCGUCCGUGUGAAGAGACCACCAAACAGGCUUUGUGUGAGCAAUAAAGCUGUUUAUUUCACCUGGGUGCAGGUGGGCUGAGUCUGAAAAGAGAGUCAGCGAAGGGAGAUAGAGGUGGGGCCGUUUUAUAGGAUUUGGGAAGGUAAUGGAAAAUUACAGUCAAAGGGGGUUGUUCUCUGGUGGGCAGGGGCGGGGGUCACAAGGUGCUCAGUGGGGGAGCUUCUGAGCCAGGAGAAGGAAAUUCACAGGGUUAAUCACUCAGUUAAGGUGGGGCAGGAACAAAUCACAAUGGUGGAAUGUCAUCAGUUAAGGCGGGGCAGGGCCUUUUCACUUCUUUUGUGAUUCUUCAGUUACUUCAGGCCAUCUGGGCGUAUAUGUGCAAGUCACAGGGGAUGCGAUGGCUUGGCUUGGGCUCAGAGGCCUGACAUUCCUGCCUUCUUAUAUUAAUAAGAAAAAUAAAACAAAAUAGUGUUGAAGUGUUGGGGCGGCGAAAAUUUUUGGGGGGUGGUAUGGAGAGAUAAUGGGCGAUGUUUCUCAGGGCUGCUUCAAGUGGGAUUAGGGGCGGCGUGGGAACCUAGAGUGGGAGAGAUUAAGCUGAAGGCAGAUCUUGUGGUAAGGGGUGAUAUUGUGGGGACGUUAGAAGAAACAUUUGUUGUAUAGAAUGAUUGGUGAUGGCCUGGAUACGGUUUUGUAUGAAUUGAAAAACUAAAUGGAAUAAGAGAAGGAGAAAAACAGAUAUAAAAGGACUAAGAAUUGGGAGGACCUAGGACAUCUAAUUAGAGAGUGCCUAAGGAGGUUCAGCAUAGUCCUGCCAGCAAAGAUUAUUUAUUUACUUCAAGAGUUAAGAGUGGCAGUUUGGGGAUAGCACGAGGAGAUAUCAGCUGUGAUGGCUUGGAGAAACAGUGUAAACCGGCAGUGUAAACAAGAGCAGGGCAUGUAUGAGUAGUUGAGAAUGGUGAAUAGGAGUAUGACUAGACAGAAGAUAGUAGGGAUGACAAGUUAUUUGGGGGCACAGUUUAAGUUCGUCUGGUGUCUGGAAUGAGACUGGGGCCUAAUAAAAAGGAGCUCAAAUGGGCUGUACCUUGUAGCAUUCCGAGGACAGGCCUGAAUUCUGAGAAGGGAAAGUGGUAAAAGUAUUGUCCAGUCCUUUUUAAGUUGGUGGCUGAGCUUGGUGAAGUGUGUUUUUAAAAGACCUUUAGCCCGUUCUACUUUUCUUGAAGAUGGAGGACUGUAAGGGAUAUAAAGGUUUCAAUGAAUACAAGAGCCUGAAAAACUGCUUGGCCGAUUUGACUAAUAAAGGCUCAUCUGUUAUCAGACUGUAUAGAGGUGGGAAGGCUAAACUGAGGAAUUAUGUCUGACAGAAGGGAAGAAAUGACUGCGGUGGCCUUCUCAGACCCUGCAGGAAAGGCCUUUACUUAUUCAGUGAAAGUGUCUAUUUAGACUAAGAGGUAUUUUAGUUUCCUGACUCGGGGCAUGUUGAGUAAAGCUAAUUUGUCAGUCCUGGGUGGGGGCAAAUCCUCGAGCUUGAUGUGUAGGGAAGGGAGGGGGCCUGAAUAAUCCCUGAGGAGUAGUAGAAGAGCAGAUGGAACACUGAGAAGUUAUUUCCUUGAAGAUAGAUUUCCACGAUGGAAAGGAAAUGAGAGGUUCUAAGAGGUGGGCUAGUGGCUUGUACUAUAGCAUAGCCUGCCUUUGCUGGUGUGUGGCGAUUAGGCCGGAUGGAACUGCCAUCAAUAAAUCAAGCGUGAUCAGGGUGAGGAACAGGAAAGAAGGAAAUAUGGGGAAAUGGGGUGAAUAUCAGGUGGAUCAGAGAGAUACAGUCAUGAGGGUCAGGUGUGAUAUCAGGAAUAAUGUGGGAGGCCAGACUGAAGUCUGGGCCAGGAACAAUGGUAAUUGUGGGACUUAACAAAGAGUGAGCACAGCUGAAGAAGCCGGGGAGCAGAAAGUAUAUGCGUCAGAUAUGAGGAAGAAAAUAGAUUUUGGAAGUUAUGCGAAAUGUAGAGCAUGAGUUGAGCAUAGAUUGUGAUUUUUAGGGCCUCUGAAAGUAUUAAAGCAGUGGCAGCCGCUGCACGCAGACAUGAGCGCUAGGCUAAAACAGUAAGGUCAAGUUGUUUGGACAGAAAGGCUACAGGGUGCGGUCCUGGCUCUUGUGUAAGAAUUCUGAGUGCACUAACUAUGCCUAGGAAGGAAAAGAGUUGUUGUUUUGUAAGGGAUUGAGGUUUGGGAGAUUAAUCGGACAUGAUCAGCAGGGAGAGCACGUGUGUUUUUAUGAGAAUUAUGCCAGGAUAGGUAACAGAUGAGGAUGAAAUUUGGACUUGACUGAAGUAAUGGGGGCUGUCUGUGAAGCCUUGCCGCAAUACAGCCCAGCCAUCACCAGGAGAUCUCAAAGCAACUCACAAGUAUUCGAUUUUCAGGUAUGAAAC
rnacentral:lncRNA from 1 species